GCUAAGGUGGCAGAGCCUGGUAAUUGCAAAAGGCCUAAGCCCUUUCUACCGGAGGUUCAAAUCCUCUCCUUCAGCU
rnacentral:tRNA from 8 species